GUGCCAGCAGCCGCGGUAAUACGGAGGGUGCAAGCGUUAAUCGGAAUAACUGGGCGUAAAGGGAGCGCAGGCGGACCGGCAAGUUGGAAGUGAAAUCCAUGGGCUCAACCCAUGAACUGCUUUCAAAACUGUAUCCCUUGAGUAUCGGAGAGGCAAGCGGAAUUCCUAGUGUAGCGGUGAAAUUCGUAGAUAUUUGUAGGAAUGCCGAUAGAGAAGUCAGCUCACUGGACGAAUACUGACACUGAAGCGCGAAAGCAUGGGGAGCAAACAGGAUUAGAUACCCUGGUAGUCCACGCUGUAAACGAUGAAUACUAGGUGUGGGGGGACUGACCCCUUCCGUGCCGCAGUUAACACAAUAAGUAUUCCACCUGGGGAGUACGACCGCAAGUAUGAAACUCAAAGGAAUUGACGG
rnacentral:rRNA from 1 species